UACGUAGGGUGCAAGCGUUGUCCGGAAUUAUUGGGCGUAAAGAGCUCGUAGGCGGUCUGUCACGUCGGCUGUGAAAACCCGAGGCUCAACCUCGGGCCUGCAGUCGAUACGGGCAAACUAGAGUACUGCAGGGGGAGACUGGAAUUCCUGGUGUAGCGGUGAAAUGCGCAGAUAUCAGGAGGAACACCGGGUGGCGAAGGCGGGGUCUCUGGGCAGUAACUGACGUGGAGGAGCGAAAAGCGUGGGGGAGCGAACAGG
rnacentral:rRNA from 1 species